UACAGAGGUCUCAAGCGUUGUUCGGAUUCAUUGGGCGUAAAGGGUGCGUAGGCGGCGCGGUAAGUCGGGUGUGAAAUCUUGGAGCUUAACUCCGAAACUGCAUUCGAUACUGCCGUGCUUGAGGACUGGAGAGGAGACUGGAAUUUACGGUGUAGCGGUGAAAUGCGUAGAUAUCGUAAGGAAGACCAGUGGCGAAGGCGGGUCUCUGGACAGUUCCUGACGCUGAAGCACGAAGGCCAGGGGAGCGAACGGG
rnacentral:rRNA from 1 species